rnacentral:rRNA from 1 species
GACGAACGCUGGCGGCGUGCUUAACACAUGCAAGUCGAACGGUGAAGCUCCAGCUUGCUGGAGUGGAUCAGUGGCGAACGGGUGAGUAACACGUGAGCAACCUGCCCCUGACUCUGGAAUAAGCGCUGGAAACGGCGUCUAAUACUGGAUACGAGAAGGGUCCGCAUGGGCACUUUCUGGAAAGUUUUUCGGUUGGGGAUGGGCUCGCGGCCUAUCAGCUUGUUGGUGAGGUAAUGGCUCACCAAGGCGACGACGGGUAGCCGGCCUGAGAGGGCGACCGGCCACACUGGGACUGAGACACGGCCCAGACUCCUACGGGAGGCAGCAGUGGGGAAUAUUGCACAAUGGGCGAAAGCCUGUUGCAGCGACGCCGCGUGAGGGAUGACGGCCUUCGGGUUGUAAACCUCUUUCAGCAGGGAAGAAGCGAAAGUGACGGUACCUGCAGAAGAAGCACCGGCUAACUACGUG